UACGUAGGGGGCAAGCGUUGUUCGGAUUCAUUGGGCGUAAAGGGUGCGUAGGCGGCGCGGUAAGUCGGGUGUGAAAUCUCGGAGCUUAACUCCGAAACUGCAUUCGAUACUGCCGUGCUUGAGGACUGGAGAGGAGACUGGAAUUUACGGUGUAGCGGUGAAAUGCGUAGAUAUCGUGAGGAAGACCAGUGGCGAAGGCGGAUCUCUGGACAGCUCCUGACGCUGAGGCGCGAAGGCUAGGGGAGCAAACGGG
rnacentral:rRNA from 1 species